rnacentral:rRNA from 1 species
GCGGUAAUUCCAGCUCCAAUAGCGUAUAUGUAAAUUGUUGCGGUUGAAAAGCUCGUAGUUGGACUUCUGGCGACUGCGUUCGGUCCGCCAAGCGCGUGCACUGUCCGCGGUCGUCGUUUCUGUCGACGUGGCGCGUCGGCCUUAGUUGGUCGGUGUGUCGUCUGUCGGCGAUGUUACUUUGAGGAAAUCAGAGUGCUCAAGGCAAGCGUUCGCUCGUGACUUCACUAGCAUGGAAUAACACAGAUGGGCUCUUUCUCGCACUGUUGGUCUGCGUCAAUUGAGCAACGAUCGAUAGAGACGGUCGGGGGCAUUCGUAUUGCGCAGUUAGAGGUGAAAUUCUCCGAUCUGCGCAAGACGUACUAAUGCGAAAGCAGUUGCCAAGGACGUCCUCUUAUGAUCAAGAGCGAAAGUCGGGGGAUCAAAGAUGAUUAGAUACCGUCGUAGUCCCGACCAUAAAUGAUGCCGACUGAGCUUCGGCGACUCGACCUCAGGUCGUACGUCGGCGCUCUUAGAGAAAUUAAAGUCUUUGGGCUCCGGGGGUAGUAUGGUCGCAAGUCUGAAACUUGAAGGAAUUGACGGAAGGGCACCACAAGGCGUGGAUGUUGCGGCUUAAUUUGACUCAACACGGGAAAGCUUACUAGGUUUGGACACCUUUGUGAUGGACAGAUUGAAGCUCUUACCCUACUGCGUGGAUGGUGGUGCAUGGUCGUUCUCAGCCCGUGGGUUGACCUGUCAGGUUUACUCCGGUAACGCGCGAGACCUCGGUCUACUAAAUAGACGCGGCUGUUUCGGCACCCGCGCUCUUCUUAGAGAGAGACUCGACGAGAGUCGAGGGAAGUCGAGGCAAUAACAGAUCUGUGAUGCCCUUAGUUAUCCUAGGUCGCACGCGCCAUACAAUGUGGCGCACAACGAGUCUCCUUGGCCGACAGGAUCUGGGCAAUCUGGCAGAGCGCUACGUGACUGGGCUAGACUUUUGUAAUUUUUGGUCUUGAACGAGGAAUGCCUAGUAAUCGCAGGUCAGCAUCCUGCGAUGAUUCGGUCCCUGCCCUUUGUACACACCGCCCGUCGCUCCAUCCGUGGCAUGCGCCGGUGAAGAGGGGGAGGCAGCGUCGGCCGGGUAACACCGGAUCGUACGUGGAACCCCUCUGAACCUUCGCACGUAGAGGAAGGAGAAGUCGUAACAAGGUUUUCGUAGGUGAACCUGCGAAAGGAUCAUUAUCGGCAC